rnacentral:rRNA from 1 species
AGUGAACGCUGGCGGUAGGCCUAACACAUGCAAGUCGAACGGCAGCACAGUAAGAGCUUGCUCUUACGGGUGGCGAGUGGCGGACGGGUGAGGAAUACAUCGGAAUCUACUUUUUCGUGGGGGAUAACGUAGGGAAACUUACGCUAAUACCGCAUACGACCUACGGGUGAAAGCAGGGGAUCUUCGGACCUUGCGCGAUUGAAUGAGCCGAUGUCGGAUUAGCUAGUUGGCGGGGUAAAGGCCCACCAAGGCGACGAUCCGUAGCUGGUCUGAGAGGAUGAUAAGCCACACUGGAACUGGGACACGGUCCAGACUCCUACGGGAGGCAGCAGUGGGGAAUAUUGGACAAUGGGCGCAAGCCUGAUCCAGCCAUACCGCGUGGGUGAAGAAGGCCUUCGGGUUGUAAAGCCCUUUUGUUGGGAAAGAAAAGCAGCAGGUUAAUACCACGCUGUUCUGACGGUACCCAAAGAAUAAGCACCGGCUAACUUCGUG